UAGUGAUCCGGUGGUUCUGAAUGGAAGGGCCAUCGCUCAACGGAUAAAAGGUACUCCGGGGAUAACAGGCUGAUACCGCCCAAGAGUUCAUAUCGACGGCGGUGUUUGGCACCUCGAUGUCGGCUCAUCACAUCCUGGGGCUGAAGUAGGUCCCAAGGGUAUGGCUGUUCGCCAUUUAAAGUGGUACGCGAGCUGGGUUUAGAACGUCGUGAGACAGUUCGGUCCCUAUCUGCCGUGGGCGCUGGAGAAUUGAGGGGGGCUGCUCCUAGUACGAGAGGACCGGAGUGGACGCAUCACUGGUGUUCGGGUUGUCAUGCCAAUGGCACUGCCCGGUAGCUAAAUGCGGAAGAGAUAAGUGCUGAAAGCAUCUAAGCACGAAACUUGCCCCGAGAUGAGUUCUCCCUGAGACUUAGAGUCUCCUGAAGGAACGUUGAAGACGACGACGUUGAUAGGUCGGGUGUGUAAGUGUAGCGAUACAUUGAGCUAACC
rnacentral:rRNA from 1 species